rnacentral:tRNA from 1 species
UGGUGUGUAGCUCAAUGGUACAGUGUGUGAUUAGCAUGCACAAGGUCCUGGGUUCAGUCCCCAGUACUUCCA